rnacentral:SRP_RNA from 1 species
GCCGGGCGCGGUGGCGCGCGCCUGUAGUCCCAGCUACUCGGGAGGCUGAGGUGGGAGGAUCGCUUGAGUCCAGGAGUUCUGGGCUGCAGUGUGCUAUGCCGAUCGGGUGUCCGCACUAAGUUUGGCAUCAAUAUGGUGACCUCCCGGGAGCGGGGGACCACCAGGUUGCCUAAGGAGGGGUGAACCGGCCCAGGUCGGAAGAAAAUGUGGUUUAAACUGCAUGUGGUGGUGCAUACCUGGGACCUACAAUGCUGGGAACCUGAGGCAGGUGGAUGGACAAUUUGAUGAGACUUUCUCAU